UAAUGGUGUUUUUCAAACUUGGGUCCCCAGCUGUUGUUGGACUACAGCUCCCAUCAUCCCUGAUCACUGGUCAUGUUAGCUAGGGAUGAUGGGUGUUUUAGUCCAACAAUAGCUGGGGACCCAAGUUUGAGAAACACCAGUG